GAUCUGUACUUAUUUUGGGGGUAUUGUUAUAUACCUAUAGUAAUUUCUGAUAUUUCUUGCUAUCGUAAGAAACUGUACAAUGUCGCAUCCUCCUCCUAAAGGUCAUGGCCAUGGUAAGGGGCACCAACAACAACAGCGAGGGUUGUCACGACAACAGUUACAACAACUGCUGCAAACAGCGCAAAAUCUACGUGACAAUGACGACGGCAAUGAGUUAUUUUGGGCUGUGAUCAUACCACUACUACAAUAUAUGAUUGCCCAUGCACCACGAGGACAAUAGAUAUGGUGAAGGAUACCAUUGAAUUUUUCAAACAAAUUCAAAAACGACCUUGAACCUCUCACUACCCAGGACUUUCAAUGUUUCCUAUUUAUCUGUAUAUGUAUGUAUUUUGGGUAUCUAUGCCUACAAAAUAAAUGAAAUAGUGCAAA